rnacentral:siRNA from 1 species
UAUAGAUGAUUGAAAUGC